UUCGCAAUGCCCGAAAGGGUGACAAUGCGACGCCGCGUGUGUGAUGAAGGUCUUCGGAUCGUAAAACACUGUCGGCCGGGAGGAAUCUCUGGAGGCAUAAUAUGUCUGCAGGGUGACAGUACCGGCAAAGGAAGCCACGGCUAACUCCGUGCCAGCAGCCGCGGUAAUGCGUAUGGUGCGAACGUUGUUCGGAAUCACUGGGCAUAAAGAGCACGUAGGCGGUUGAGCAAGUCCAUUGUGAAAUCCCCCGGCUUAACCGGGGAACUACAGUGGAUACUACUUGACUUGAGUGCGGGAGGGGAGAGUGGAAUUCCAGGUGGAGCGGUGAAAUGCGUAGAUAUCUGGAGGAACGCCGGUGGCGAAAGCGACUCUCUGGUCCGUAACUGACGCUGAGGUGCGAAAGCUAGGGGAGCAAACGGGAUUAGAUACCCCGGUAGUCCUAGCCCUAAACGAUGGGCACUAAGUAGAGGGGUUUU
rnacentral:rRNA from 1 species